rnacentral:lncRNA from 1 species
CCUUUGGAUCUGGCUCCUGUUCCAUCCUCUACUGGGCUGUGACAACUCAGGGUCCCUGUGGUCCUCCAGAGUCAGCUCCUGAGAACGAGCAGUGCUGAAAGAGAAUGGACCCCUCCCCCCUUCACUCACCGCACAGACUUCACUGGAAAUAAAGAGAUUGGCAUUUAUGUGCUGUGAUGUCAGAGUGAAAGAAAAGCUUCUAUCUGUCUCCACCAGUCUUCUUACUUUGAUGAUGGGCUCACUUCGGGAUGAAGAGCUUAACUACCAUUUAAACCACCACCACCAACCAAGAAAGCAGGAAACCAGAAACCCCAGGGCCCAGCUCUACAGUCCACUACCUCAUUGUAAUCUCGCUAAGUCAUAUGCUCCAGCCUCUGCUUACUCACACAGCAAAGACGAAAAUUCUUGUUCUAGACUUCUUAGGAGGAUUCAAUGAGAUGCUGUCUGGAGGCACUUGGAAACUACAUAUCCACGGCAUCUUACUCUUGCCCAUAGUUCAUUCGAGCUUCUGGCCCUGGCUCUAGAGGCAGUGUACCCUCAGGCACCAUGCUCGGCUUUUAUUCGAGCCGUCCCUUUGCCAUUCCCUCCUCCACUAUCAAUAAAUUCUAGAAAGCAACAAGUUGGAGAUGCUGUUCCCACAAGGGCCCUCUGUGAUCUUUCAGAACAGCAAUCAGCUUGCCCUGCUGGGUGAUAUUGCUUACUCCUGACCUCAGUUAGCUCUCAUUUUAACCAUUCUCAAUGAUAAAACAUCCACCAGACCAUCUAUCAGGGUUGAGUAGUAUAAUCUCAUCUAGCUGUUUGUUUAUUUUUUCUUCUUACAGGAUAUUUUAUAUUAAAAGUGUUUUGAGUUAAGUUUAUAAAAGCACUCUUUCUAUUGUACAAUUCUAUGAGUUUUGAAAACACAUGCUCCAUGUGAC